GCAUGCUUUACACAUGCAAGUCGAACGGCAGCGGGUCCUUCGGGAUGCCGGCGAGUGGCGAACGGGUGAGUAAUGCAUCGGAACGUACCUGGUCGUGGGGGAUAACACAGCGAAAGUUGUGCUAAUACCGCAUGAGACCUGAGGGUGAAAGCGGGGGCUCGCAAGACCUCGCGCGACUGGAGCGGCCGAUGUCAGAUUAGCUAGUUGGUAGGGUAAAGGCCUACCAAGGCGACGAUCUGUAGCGGGUCUGAGAGGAUGAUCCGCCACACUGGGACUGAGACACGGCCCAGACUCCUACGGGAGGCAGCAGUGGGGAAUUUUGGACAAUGGGCGCAAGCCUGAUCCAGCCAUGCCGCGUGAGUGAAGAAGGCCUUCGGGUUGUAAAGCUCUUUCAGCCGGGAAGAAAUCGCACGGGUUAAUACCCUGUGCGGAUGACGGUACCGGAACAAGAAGCACCGGCUAACUACGUGCCAGCAGCCGCGGUAAUACGUAGGGUGCGAGCGUUAAUCGGAAUUACUGGGCGUAAAGCGUGCGCAGGCGGAUGCUUAAGUCAGAUGUGAAAUCCCCGAGCUUA
rnacentral:rRNA from 1 species